rnacentral:rRNA from 1 species
AUGUCAGGGAAAGAACCAAAAACAAUAUUGACCGACCAAUGUCCUGCCAUUAUUAGUGCCAUUGACAAGGUUUUUACCAAUUCAAUACAUCGUCUAUGUGUGUGGCACAUGUAUCAGAAUGCUGCAAAACAUUUGAGUCAUGUUUUCCAAGGUUGAAAGACAUUUAAGAAAGAUUUUGGCAAGUGUGUUUAUGAUUUUGAAGAAGUUGAUGAUUUCUUAGCAGGUUGGAAUGAUAUGCUAGUGAAAUAUAAUUUGGAAGACAAUGACUGGCUACAUAGAUUAUUUCAGAACAAGGAGAAGUGGGCUUUGGUUUAUGGUCGGCAGACCUUUUGUGCGGAUAUGAAAUCUACGCAAAGAAGCGAGAGUAUGAAUGCACUAUUGAAGCGAUACUUGCAUGUUCGCCUUGAUUUAUUAGAUUUCUUCAAGCACUAUGAGAGGGCCGUGGAUGAU